CUUUUCGCUCUGACUUUCUUACGCGAUGAAAUACUUAAUGUUUUUAUCUGACUUUGUUUCAGGGUCAUUGCACAAAUAAAAGCCAAGCAAGGCAGACGAGUUACAGGACUGCCUAUGUAGACAAAAGAAUUCGCUGAAGGCCACGGAACCUGAGGCCGGGCAGCGUCUUGUGACUCCCAGUCUGGUGCUUUGACUGCUGACUGCUCCCGCUUUACAUGCUGUAAGAUCAACAGAUUUUGGUACAACCAGAGUCCUUCUGUACUUUGUGUCUUUUUCUCUUGUAAGCAAGCUGGGGAGUGCUGUGUGGAGGAGCGAGUCCCUUCCUAGGAGAAGGGGUACCCCAGCUUAGUAGGGCGUGCAGAUUGCCUUCACUGACGGUAUCAGCCUGGAGGCUUUAAAACAACACUGCUCAGAUGUUUUUCAAAGUAACCUUGAUGUAGAAGUCAGCUUUCGUGGCUUUCAUUUAUACUAAAGAUAGAAAAAGUCCAGUCAGUAAAAAUACGGGGUAAAAUGAAAGCAGGUUUUUCCGCUAUUCGUUUCCCAGCAAGUAAAUUGGGUUUGACAGAAUCAUGUGUUUGGAGGCUGACUUUGAGAUGGAACAUAGCUGUCGUGCAGGCUCGGCCAGCAGGGCUGUCCUGGUGGAACGGAGCUGGUGGUGAAGGAGCGCAUCCUCACCACGGUACCCAGAAGGAUACAUUCAGUUGGAUUUUUGUUGGGGAUUGGUAUGCAUUUCAGAAAGAUGGGC
rnacentral:lncRNA from 1 species